GUAGAACAGGAUAAUGUUGUUAUGUGAGGACUAGCUGAAGAAACUAACCUGGAAAUAGGAUAUGUGCUCACCAACUCGAUGCAUAUGAGUUUGGGUGAACUCCGGGAGUUGGUGAUGGACAGGGAGGCCUGGCGUGCUGCGAUUCAUGGGGUCGCAAAGAGUUGGACACGACUGAGUGACUGAACUGAAGUCUCCCUUUUAUCAGAAGCCAUUAAAUAUCUCUCUUUACUCGUUUAUAUCACUUUCCAGUGUCAUAGGCAUUUGAAUUUUCCAUCUAUGAUAUGGUCCUUAGAGACUCCAGAGAAUUUACUUAUUCAAGAAGUAUUAGCAAUUAUGGGUGCUAGUCAAUGGAGAUACAGCUGGACCAAGCAAAGCCAAGGUCUCUCCCUAUGUAAGAGGAAUGAGGAGUAACCAAUGUGUUCUUUAGGCUGUCUAACUCUUUGCAGCCCCAUGCACUACAGCCCAUCAGCCUCCUCUGUCCAUAGGUUUUCCAUGCAAGAGUACUGGAGUGGGUUGCCAUUGCCUUCUCCGGGAGUUGACAUAUUAGGUGUUCUGAAAAGAGUGAUAAUAGAAACUGUUAGGUGAAAAAAAUCCUCUCCAUUCAUUCAAGAAAGUGAAGACAACCUACAGGACGAGAGAAAAUAUUUGCAAAUCAUACAUCUGAUAAGGUAUCCAGAAUCUAUAAAGAGCUCUUACAACUCCAGCAAGGAAAAGAUGAGCAACCUCCAAUUUAAACAUGAGCAAAGGACUGCAAUAGACAUUUCUCCAAAGAAAACGUGAACAACCAGCAAGCACAUGAAAGGAGGCCCAACAGCAUUAGUUAUUAGGGAAACACAAAUCAAAACCACAGUGAGAUUUCACUAUACACCCACUGCUGCUGCUAAGUCACUUCAGUCAUGUCCGACUCUGUGUGACCCCAUAGACGGCAGCCCACCAGGCUCCCCCGUCCCUGGGAUUCUCCAGGCAAGAACACUGGAGUGGGUUGCCAUUUCCUUCUCCAAUGCAUGAAAGUGAAAAGUGAAAGUGAAGUCGCUCAGUCGUGUCCGACUCUAGCGACCCUAUGGACUGCAGCCCACCAGGCUCCUCCAUCCGUGGGAUUUUCCACGCAAGAGUACUGGAGUGGGGUGCCAUUGCCUUCUGGAUAUUUGUAAUAGAAAAGAUGGAGCAACUUUCCUGGCAGUUCUGUGGUUAAGAUUCCUCACUUUCACUGCAGGAGGCCUGAGUUUCAACCCCGGUGAGGGAACUAAGAUCCUGCAUGCCACCUGGUGCAGCCAAAAAAAAAAAAAAAAAAAGAUGGAAAUUACUGUGUUGGCCAAGAUGUAAAGUAGUUGACACCCUCAAACAUUGCUGGUGGGAAUGUAAAAUAGCACAGCCACUUUGGAAAACAGUUUUGCAGUUCCUCCAAAAGUUAAAGCAUAGUUACCAGCCAC
ensembl:lncRNA